rnacentral:rRNA from 1 species
GACGAACGCUGGCGGCAUGCCUAAUACAUGCAAGUCGAGCGAACAGAUGAAGUGCUUGCACUUCUGACGUUAGCGGCGAACGGGUGAGUAACACGUAAGGAAUCUACCUAUAAGCGGGGGAUAACAUUCGGAAACGGGUGCUAAUACCGCAUAAUAUCUUCUUCCGCAUGGAAGAAGAUUGAAAGACGGCUCUGCUGUCACUUAUAGAUGACCUUGCGGUGCAUUAGUUAGUUGGUGGGGUAACGGCCUACCAAGACGAUGAUGCAUAGCCGACGUGAGAGGGUGAUCGGCAACAUUGGGACUGAGAAACGGCCCAAACUCUUACGGGAGGCAGCAGUAGGGAAUCUUCCGCAAUGGGCGAAAGCCUGACGGAGCAAUACCGCGUGAGUGAAGAAGGCCUUCGGGUCGUAAAACUCUGUUAUAAGAGAAGAACAAAUUGUAGAGUAACUGCUACAGUCUUGACGGUAUCUUAUCAGAAAGCCACGGCUAACUACGUGCCAGCAGCCGCCGUAA